ensembl:lncRNA
UUUCUUGCUGGACAUCUCUGCCUACUUGAGGCCUUCCAAAGGAAACUGAAGAGACUCCUAUUUAGAAGUAAACAAACAACAACAACAACAACAAAAAAAACAACAACCAAAACUCACCAACCCAAAAAAAGCAGAAGAAAGUGAAUUGGCAUAGUGUUUCUUCUCUGGUUCAGAAAGGCACAGGUAAGGAAGACUGUGUUUCAGCCUGACUCCAAUUGAAUAUGAAAGUGUUGCAGCAUUGGAUGGUGACUUUGGGUAUGAACAAUUGCAAAUGGAUUUCUCUUCCCUGUGUCAACGUGCCUGUGGAGCUGCAACCAGCCUGGAGGUACACACUGAAGUUAGUUAUAGUAGAUUUUGAAGCACUGUAUAGUGGUAGAGGUGGUUCUAGAUCAUUAUAGCUGGAAGUCUGAAGUAGCUUGAUAAAAUGAAAAUCUAGCAUACUGAGUCAAUGCUGUCAUACUGUGGUUGAUAAUGCCUGAAUGUGUUGAGAUGUAACUUGGUGAAAUUAAAUGCAAAACAUCGCUCCUU